rnacentral:rRNA from 1 species
UACGGAGGGGGCUAGCGUUGUUCGGAAUUACUGGGCGUAAAGCGCACGUAGGCGGCUUUGUAAGUUAGAGGUGAAAGCCCGGGGCUCAACCCCGGAAUUGCCUUUAAGACUGCAUCGCUAGAAUUGUGGAGAGGUAAGUGGAAUUCCGAGUGUAGAGGUGAAAUUCGUAGAUAUUCGGAAGAACACCAGUGGCGAAGGCGGCUCACUGGCCCGGAGCUGACGCUGAGACGCGAAAGCGUGGGGAGCAAACAGG